GAUGAACGCUGGCGGCGUGCUUAACACAUGCAAGUCGAACGAAGACAUCUGAGUGCUUGCACUUGGAUGGACUGAGUGGCGGACGGGUGAGUAACGCGUGGGUAACCUGCCUUAUACAGGGGGAUAACAGUUGGAAACGACUGCUAAUACCGCAUAAGCGCACGGUAUCGCAUGAUACAGUGUGAAAAACUCCGGUGGUAUAAGAUGGACCCGCGUCUGAUUAGCUGGUUGGUGAGGUAACGGCCCACCAAGGCGACGAUCAGUAGCCGACCUGAGAGGGUGACCGGCCACAUUGGGACUGAGACACGGCCCAAACUCCUACGGGAGCAGCAGUGGGGAAUAUUGCACAAUGGGGGAAACCCUGAUGCAGCGACGCCGCGUGAGCGAAGAAGUAUUCGGUAUGUAAAGCUCUAUCAGCA
rnacentral:rRNA from 1 species